CCUAUGGCUGAAGCCACAGGCUAUAUCCCCCUAUCCCUUCGGGAUA
rnacentral:sRNA from 1 species